rnacentral:rRNA from 1 species
UUGCCAGACUCCUACGGGAGGCAGCAGUGGGGAAUAUUGGGCAAUGGGGGAAACCCUGACCCAGCGACGCCGCGUGAGGGAAGAAGGUUUUCGGAUUGUAAACCUCUGUCCUUGGUGACGAUAAUGACGGUAGCCAAGGAGGAAGCCACGGCUAACUACGUGCCAGCAGCCGCGGUAAUACGGAGGAUGCGAGCGUUAUCCGGAUUUAUUGGGUUUAAAGGGUGCGUAGGCGGAAUGCCAAGUCAGCGGUAAAAUCGCGGGGCUCAACCUCGCUCCGCCGUUGAAACUGGCGUUCUUGAGUGGGCGAGAAGUAUGCGGAAUGCGUGGUGUAGCGGUGAAAUGCAUAGAUAUCACGCAGAACUCCGAUUGCGAAGGCAGCAUACCGGCGCCCAACUGACGCUGAAGCACGAAAGCGUGGGUAUCGAACAGGAUUAGAUACCCCCGUAAG